rnacentral:lncRNA from 1 species
AAAAAGAAAGGGUUGAGAGGAAUGAAGGAGGUGAGUAAGGGUUUGGGGUUAUUUUUUUUAAUUUUGAGAAUGAAAAUUAUUAAAAUAAGACAAGUGUUUUUUUAUUUUUUUCAAUUAGAGAAAAUGUUGGAGUGAAAGAGAUGAAAGAGAAAGGUUGAGAGGAACCAGAGAGGUGGAUAAGGGAUUCAGGGUUUCUUUUUUUUAUUUUUUUAAUUUUGAGNAUGAAAAUUA